rnacentral:rRNA from 1 species
UACGGAGGGGGCUAGCGUUGUUCUGAAUUACUGGGCGUAAAGCGCACGUAGGCGGCUUUGUAAGUUAGAGGUGAAAGCCCGGGGCUCAACUCCGGAAUUGCCUUUAAGACUGCAUCGCUAGAAUUGUGGAGAGGUAAGUGGAAUUCCGAGUGUAGGGGUGAAAUUCGUAGAUAUUCGGAAGAACACCAGUGGCGAAGGCGGCUCACUGGACCGGUAUUGACGCUGAGGUGCGAAAGCGUGGGGAGCAAACAGG